rnacentral:rRNA from 1 species
UACAGAGGUGGCAAGCGUUGUUCGGAAUUAUUGGGCGUAAAGGGCGCGUAGGCGGCUGAGCAAGUCGAACGUGAAAUCCCUGGGCUUAACCCAGGAAGUGCAUUUGAUACUGCUCAACUUGAGUCCCGGAGAGGGUGGUGGAAUUCCCAGUGUAGAGGUGAAAUUCGUAGAUAUUGGGAGGAACACCGGUGGCGAAGGCGACCACCUGGACGGAGACUGACGCUGAGGCGCGAAAGCGUGGGGAGCAAACAGG